rnacentral:rRNA from 1 species
GAUGAACGCUGGCGGCGUGCCUAAUACAUGCAAGUCGAGCGAACGGACGAAAAGCUUGCUUCUCUGAUGUUAGCGGCGGCCGGGUGAGUAACACGUGGAUAACCUACCUAUAAGACUGGGAUAACUUCGGGAAAACGGAGCUAAUACCGGAUAAUAUUUUGAACCGCAUGGUUCAAAAGUGAAAGACGGUCUUGCUGUCACUUAUAGAUGGAUCCGCGCUGCAUUAGCUAGUUGGUAAGGUAACGGCUUACCAAGGCAACGAUGAAUAGCCGACCUGAGAGGGUGAGCGACCACACCGGAACUGAGCCACGGUCCAGACUCCUACGAGAGGCAGCAGUAGGGAAUCUGCCGCAAUGAGCCAAAACCUGACGGUGCGAAGCCGCGUGAGUGAUGAAGGUCUUCGGAUCGUAAAACUCUGUUAUUAGGGGAGAACAUAUGUGUAAGAAACUGUGCUCAUCUUGACGGUACCUAAUCAGAAAGCCACGGCUAACUACGUG